GAUGAAGAACGUAGCGAAACGCGAUAAGUAAUGUGAAUUUCAGAAUUCAGUGAAUCAUCGAAUCUUUGAACGCACAUUGCGCCCGCCAGUAUUCUGGCGGGCAUGCCUGUUCGAGCGUCAUUACAACCCUCAGGCCCCCGGGCCUGGCGUUGGGGAUCGGCGGAAGCCCCCUGCGGGCACAACGCCGUCCCCCAAAUACAGUGGCGGUCCCGCCGCAGCUUCCAUUGCGUAGUAGCUAACACCUCGCAACUGGAGAGCGGCGCGGCCACGCCGUAAAACACCCAACUUCUGAAUGUUGACCUCGAAUCAGGUAGGAAUACCCGCUGAACUUAAGCAUAUCAAUAAGCGGAGGA
rnacentral:misc_RNA from 1 species